rnacentral:rRNA from 1 species
AUCUAUACUGUGAAACUGCGAAUGGCUCAUUAAAUCAGUUAUCGUUUAUUUGAUAGUACCUUACUACAUGGAUAACCGUGGUAAUUCUAGAGCUAAUACAUGCUAAAAACCCCAACUUCGGAAGGGGUGUAUUUAUUAGAUAAAAAACCAAUGCCCUUCGGGGCUCCUUGGUGAAUCAUGAUAACUUAACGAAUCGCAUGGCCUUGCGCCGGCGAUGGUUCAUUCAAAUUUCUGCCCUAUCAACUUUCGAUGGUAGGAUAGUGGCCUACCAUGGUAUCAACGGGUAACGGGGAAUUAGGGUUCUAUUCCGGAGAGGGAGCCUGAGAAACGGCUACCACAUCCAAGGAAGGCAGCAGGCGCGCAAAUUACCCAAUCCCGACACGGGGAGGUAGUGACAAUAAAUACUGAUACAGGGCUCUUUUGGGUCUUGUAAUUGGAAUGAGUACAAUUUAAAUACCUUAACGAGGAACAAUUGGAGGGCAAGUCUGGUGCCAGCAGCCGCGGUAAUUCCAGCUCCAAUAGCGUAUAUUAAAGUUGUUGCAGUUAAAAAGCUCGUAGUUGAACCUUGGGCCUGGCUGGCCGGUCUGCCUCACCGCAUGUACUGGUUCGGCCGGGCCUUUCCUCCUGGGGAUCCGCAUGCCCUUCACUGGGUGUGUUGGGGAACCAGGACUUUUACUUUGAAAAAAUUAGAGUGUUCAAAGCAGGCCUUUGCUCGAAUACAUUAGCAUGGAAUAAUAGAAUAGGACGUGCGGUCCUAUUUUGUUGGUUUCUAGGACCGCCGUAAUGAUUAAUAGGGAUAGUCGGGGGCAUCAGUAUUCAGUUGUCAGAGGUGAAAUUCUUGGAUUUACUGAAGACUAACUACUGCGAAAGCAUUUGCCAAGGAUGUUUUCAUUAAUCAGUGAACGAAAGUUAGGGGAUCGAAGACGAUCAGAUACCGUCGUAGUCUUAACCGUAAACUAUGCCGACUAGGGAUCGGGCGAUGUUAUUCUUUUGACUCGCUCGGCACCUUACGAGAAAUCAAAGUCU